rnacentral:tRNA from 1 species
AUUUAAAUAGUUUAAUACAAAAUAUUGAUUUGUGGAAUCAAAGAUAUAAAUAUUAUUUUAAAUA